UCAUCCUAGUGAGAGAUGCUGUUCCCAAUAGCUUAAGCCUUAAUAAUAACAAAAACUACAAAAUGCUUAAUUUCAGUUUGUGCUGAAAAUACGUCACUCGUAAUUAGUCAUACUAUUCUCCUCUUAGCCAGUUGCACUGGUCCAGCCAGUUUAGCAUCAUUCUACAAUUUCAAUUGCUUUCCCAGCAGUGUACUAGGUAAAAUGAAAGCGGAGAUGUAGGAGGUUCAAAGGCUUUCCAACCGAACCACACAGGACAACUCAACUUGUUGCAGACAGCUGUCGGACAACACCGAGAGACCCUUGGUUGAGUGACUAAGUUGGUUAUUGGCGGGAAGCGACAAAGAUUCCUAAAGGACUAUAGUUUUAUUACAGAGGUCCAAGCUUCCUUCGACACACGUCCCUGUGUGAAAAGCUCUGAUGUGGAUCCAAGUUUUUCUGGGGCUCCUGGUUGUGGCCCUAGGCCUGCUCCUGCCCUACCCUGUCUGUGAGGCCACCUCCCUGGGUGCAGUGGUCAAUGUUGUCCCUCUAGAGAAGAGUGGAGGAAAUAUGGUGAGAGCCCACUACACCGUGAUCUCGGCCCUUCCCUGUCCCUACGUUCUCCGGAGUGUGUCAGACAGGGGAAGACUGUGUC